AAAAAGAAAGCCCUUCGGGGUGGAAUUUUUACAUCUUAGCGGCGGACGGGUGCGUAACACGUGGGUAACCUGCCCCUAUCACUGGGAUAACACACUGAAAAGUGUGCUAAUACCAGAUAAUAUAAGCUUUUGGCAUCAUUAGCUUAUCAAAGAAUUUCGGAUAGGGAUGGGCCCGCGUCUGAUUAGCUAGUUGGUGAGGUAACGGCUCACCAAGGCAACGAUCAGUAGCCGACCUGAGAGGGUGAUCGGCCACACUGGAACUGAGACACGGUCCAGACUCCUACGGGAGGCAGCAGUGGGGAAUAUUGCAUAAUGGGCGAAAGCCUGAUGCAGCAACGCCGCGUGAGCGAUGAAGGCCUUCGGGUCGUAAAGCUCUGUCCUAUGGGAAGAUAAUGACGGUACCAUAGGAGGAAGCCCCGGCUAACUACGUGCCAGCAGCCGCGGUAAUACGUAGGGGGCAAGCGUUAUCCGGAAUUACU
rnacentral:rRNA from 1 species